UUUAUUCAAUUUGCAGUAACAGCCACAACUUUAACUUUUUCCCUGGAGGUCAUUUUCACUGAGAUUCAUUUUACACUGUUCUUGUAUUCCAUAUUCAUCGGCUGUUAUGAACUUGCUCUGUUCUCCAUUCAGGCCCUCUAUUCUUAUACUCUCCAUGGAUGCAAGAAAUUUAUUACAAGUAAAACACUUCAAGAAAACCAAGGAUGAUCUGACAAACAAGGAAGGGGUUCAACCCUGAGGACAUCAUGCGAGUUGGCAUUGUUCAGAUGAGCAGGAAGGACACCUACAUCAACAGGGUCAUCUACAUGAAUGGAGUAUAAGAAGAAAUACAACUCAGGCUAAAUGCUCAGGGAAAAAACGAAGGAUUUGGGCAGAUGAAUGAAGGCUCAGUCUUACAUCAUUGGUCUAGUGGAACAGCUUUUCUAUCUAUGAGAUACUCCAUAAG
rnacentral:sRNA from 1 species